rnacentral:rRNA from 1 species
UACGGGGGGGGUAAGCGUUGUUCGGAAUUACUGGGCGUAAAGAGCGUGUAGGCGGCCAUACAGGUCAGCUGUGAAAACUCGAGGCUCAACCUCGAGACGUCGGUUGAAACCGUAUGGCUAGAGUCCGGAAGAGGAGAGUGGAAUUCCCGGUGUAGCGGUGAAAUGCGCAGAUAUCGGGAAGAACACCCGUGGCGAAGGCGGCUCUCUGGGACGGUACUGGACGCUGAGACGCGAAAAGCGUGGGGAGCGAACAGG